ACGCACGCUGGCGGCGUGCUUAACACAUGCAAGUCGAACGGAAAGGCCCUGCUUUUGUGGGGUGCUCGAGUGGCGAACGGGUGAGUAACACGUGAGUAACCUGCCCUUGACUUUGGGAUAACUUCAGGAAACUGGGGCUAAUACCGGAUAGGAGCUCCUGCUGCAUGGUGGGGGUUGGAAAGUUUCGGCGGUUGGGGAUGGACUCGCGGCUUAUCAGCUUGUUGGUGGGGUAGUGGCUCACCAAGGCUUUGACGGGUAGCCGGCCUGAGAGGGUGACCGGCCACAUUGGGACUGAGAUACGGCCCAGACUCCUACGGGAGGCAGCAGUGGGGAAUAUUGCACAAUGGGCGGAAGCCUGAUGCAGCAACGCCGCGUGCGGGAUGACGGCCUUCGGGUUGUAAACCGCUUUCGCCUGUGACGAAGCGUGAGUGACGGUAAUGGGUAAAGAAGCACCGGCUAACUACGUG
rnacentral:rRNA from 1 species